rnacentral:lncRNA from 1 species
UAACUUCUUCAUUUCUCUCGUCUGGAACUUGCAAUAAUGCAUUCUAUAUCAGGUUCACCAGCUGUAGUUAUAAUCAUAGGAAAGAAUGAAAUGAGAAAGUUCUUUGUAUGGAGUUUAUAUAAAUUUUUAGCUCUUUCUCCAGACGGAGGAAUAGAUUAUCAUUGUUGUCCAUAAUUUUUUUAUGGACAUUAAUAUUAAUAAUUUUUAUAGGAGCAUGUAUGUCCUGAAUUUGGAAGGUAUUUUUGAUCUACUUAUUAUAUCAAAACAUUGUCAAUACCUUCAAAGGAGUACAUUUUUGCUAGUUUUGAUCUUUUUGGACAUGAACGCCCGAUUGGCUGCGUAUACAUUGUGCACCUACUAAUGUGUGUUCAACUUCUGGCUGAGAUCUGGUUAUUUAACUUUUAUGAAAAACAAAGUGAACAUUAAACUUGCUAAUCUAAAGAUAGAGGUUUAAAUUUGUCUUACUUAUUUCAUUGUCCGUCCUUGAUUAAAUUCCUUUUCCUCUUUCAUGAUUUUUAUCUUUUAAAACAUGUCUUGGGGCCUAUUGGGCAGUCGGCAUUUAAUUUUACAUGCUGAAAAGUGAUUGUUUGAUUUACUUUAAAACUUAAAAGCAUCUGAAAUAGAGAGCAAAAUCCAUGGUUUAUUAUGCAUUUAUAAGAUCGGGUAAAUGGUGUGAGCUGUGAAAUUUCCUUUAGAAAUUAUAGGCAUGUAAUUUAGUUUAAAGAAGACAUAAUAUGUGAGGUAUUGAUAUCUUAUUUUUAAGUUUCUUAUGAGUACAAUGUAAGGAUUUGAACUUCUUACAAUCAUCAUAUUUUGAUUUUAGAAUUGUUCCAUUAUAUUUUAAAGGUAUUAAUAUUUUAUUGCUUUUCCUUUAAGGGUUAUUUUGUAGUUUAAAGGGGAUCAGUUAGUAUGCACAAGAGUAUUGUGAGAAAAUUAGAGAGCUCUUGAUGUAGAAAAUGAUGCUUUUCUUUGUGACCUUGAGGGGAAUUUUAAGGAAAUGAAUGAGAAAGCAUCUAGCAAUACCCCAUGGAGGUAAUUGAAGGAUUUCCUUUCAAUUCAUAUAGAUUGUAAUGCAUCAAAGUGAUGUGCACACUAGUAACACAAUGGCUUUAGGCUUGAAGAGGAAGUGCUCAUUUUCAGAGACACUUUGAGGAUGAUUCUAAUCAUAAAUGUUUCUACUCAUGGUUCAGUGGAAGAAUGAAUAAACUAAUCUAAACAACGUCUAAAAUGUUAAUUUUUUUUUUAUGUUUUCUUCCUGCUUCACUUGACCCACAUGACACUCAUAACGUGUUUCUGUGGUCCACUUGAAUAUCUGUGUACGAUAUUGCUCAAAAUUUAAAUAAUAUCUUGAGUUAGCAUU